AGGGCUUGCAUUAUCCUAGACAAGAAUAAAGUGAGGCAAAAGACUUAACAAAACAAUAAAAAAAGAAAUCAUAGUGAGUAGCAUUAGCAUUGAAAUAAAAUACUGAGAUAGAAGGAUGAGAGAAUUAAUGAAGAAGAUUACAAGGCAUUUGGUACUUAUAAGAUUGUGUCACGGACACAGAAAUAUAAACUCGAGAUCUAACAAGAAGUUCAAGAAGAACUGGCAAGAACUAGAUUAAUCAGAUGAAUACAAGAACAACACCAGAGAGGUGAGCUAGAGCUCGAAGAGAUGUAUUGUCGAGACUGAAGAACUCUUCACCCUUGAUUCCAAUAUAUACUCCUAUUUAGGAAGCUUCUCAAGUAACUUCUAUUAACUAAGAAGCUUCUAGAAGGUUCCACAGACUUGCUUCUAGGAUGUUCUAGAAACUUGUCUCUAGAAGGUUCUAAGGACUAUGUCCCUAACAUCUUCUAUCAACUAAGAAGCUUCUAGAAGGUUCCAGAGACUUGCUUCUAGAAGGUUCUAGAAACUUGUCUCUAGAAGGUUCUAAGGACUAUGUCCCUAACAUCACCCCCUCCUUUGGCUUCGAGGUCUCUGAGAAGCAAUGUUCUUGUUAAUGAGUACCAACGCAAGAAAAUGAAGAUCUGUCGCAUAAUGUCUGCUAUCAACUCCAACUGUUGUUCAUGAGGCAAGUGGUUCAUUGGCCCUUGAAGCCAACAGUAGUAGCCCACUCCUUCAACUUCUGACCAAGCAUGAACUUUCGUGUCCUCAUUGUAAAAUUGUCCUGUAAAUACGCCUUCUGGCUGACCAUCGUAAGCAAGCUCGAACUCGAAUACAAUCACCAGUGAUCGGUUACUCGGUAUCCUUUGUCGUCGUCAUGGUGUAGGCGGUUCUUCAUCUCGGGGUCGCCUUCGUGAGCUAGUCGGUUGAGAUAAUCUGACUAGCAUAGUAUCUAUCUCUUGGCUAUCCAUAUCAGAAGACCAAACUAUGGCUACUGAAGAAAUUCUACUUUAUCGUGGAGAAAAUAACUACAUCAACUGCAAAUUUUGGUGGUGCUCUCCUCCUUUUUUAUAUUCUUAGGUGAGCAAGCUUUAGAAGGAAGCUAUCGUCGAACUGGCUUAGGUUUAUGAGGAUGUUGUUGAUGAAACUCCUGUACCUUGUGCGGCACAUUGGUGAGAUUUUCAGCUGGCUCCCAUGUUCGCUCAUUAAUGUCGUAGCUGCACCAAUGACCAAGAUACUCCAACUUGCCCUACCUUUGCCGUGAAUCUAGCACCUUUUCAACCUCGUAUUUCUCAUGGUUCUUGAUCUCAAUACUAGGUGGCGGUGUCGUAUUACGUGCUUUUCUGCUCGAGAAUGUGCCAAGCAUCUGGCUGUAGAAGGUAGUAUGGAGAUUCACUAAUAUUCAAGCAGUCUAUCGGUUUUUGACUGUUGGAAUACAAACGAUUGUAAGAAUAUAUCGAAAAUCUAUACGGAUGUCCUUCAACUGCUCGCCAAAAUCUUUUUUGUCCCAGCCGGUAGGUCUCUAGACGUUACAGAGAACCCCGAACAACCCGAUCUGCUAAUCUCCGAUACCGCUUUAAACUCACGACCUUGUAUCCACUAACUGUCUCGUUAGAUUAACCCAAUAAAUUUCAUUCACUCCGCAUAUUCAAUCCUAUAGACAUCCUUUUAAUUCUUCAAUCACAGACGUAACUUUGAUUUCACAAAACAGUCAAGAGUAAUCACACCCACUUCAUUAAAAUCCCGAUUCACUGGUACAAUACUGACUUCAGCAAUGAUUGUCUCAGUCUUCCCAAAACCUUAUGAAAAAAAAAAACCCCAAUCCUCUGUCUUUUUUCUCCGCCCGAGGCAUGAAGCUAGCUCUCUGACCCUUGAAAACCCCUUAUUCUCUCUCCUUCAUUUCUCAACCUAUCCUCCCCUUUAACCCUAAUUCUCCUUUCUUUCAAACCCUAGCCUCUAAAUUUCUUCAAUCUACUGUCUUGGAUCCGGAAUUGGCUCCGCCGUCCAAGCUUUCUCCUCCAUUUUUUGCCUUUUAAAAGGUUCUUUUUCCGGAAACAACGUUCCCUGAAACAGCACAGAGAACAGGACAUCCAGAAACGGAAUUGAAACCCCCGUAAUCGGGACCACAUUGAGUCGUCCGACCAAUUCAGGUCUCAUAUUGGCUAAGAGGCCCGUAGUAAGACCUGAAUGUUCCCGUAAUUGGAUCAAAUUGGUCCUUCGCGUCAGAUUGGCUAAGAGGCCCGCAGUAAGACCUGGAUGUUCCCGUAAUUGGACCGCAUUGGGUUACUCGACGAAGUUAGGUCUCAUAUUGGGUAAGAGACCCGUAAUAGGACUUGGAUUGGAUGUCUUGAAAUUGGAUCCAAUUGGCUCUUCGAACCAGGCUCACCCGUCAUUAAAUUGGUCCUUUUCCUUUCUGCUGACUCCCGUUAUUGGAAUCAAAUGGAGCAUUUUAGUAUGCCCCGGUUGACUGUAACGGGGUGACUAAACCUGGCUUCUCAGUAUUUGUACUGGAAUUGGUCGUUGCUCCCAAUAUUCGAGGUAACUGAACAUUAAUAAAAGUCACAUUUCUUUAUAUUUUCAUGGUAUACUCGUGUUACAACACGACAGCGGACAUUGCACUCUUCCAGGAAAAGAUGACUCUCGAUAAGGCUCCAACAAAGAAACAUGAAAGACUGUAUAUACCUUCUUAGAAGCCGAUAAUUUCAAACGGUACGCCAUUGGAUUGAUUUGCUUCUGGAUGAUAAAUGGUCCCAAUCUUCGAUAGUCCAACUUAUCACAUGGUCGCUUGGUCUUGAUAUUCCGUCGAAGAAGCCAUGUUUUAUCUCCAAUUUUGAAAGUAGGUGCUUGAUUCCGAAAUCUAUCUGCAGACACCUUGUAGGAUUCUUGAACGGAUUGUAAUUGAAGCUUCAACGUAUUUUGAAGCUCUGAUAGUUGUUUCGCAAAUCCUUCAGCUACUGGAUUGUUAUUUGUUGAUGGACUCAAUAAAUCAAGCUUCGGAUGAUACCCAUAGUUGGAAAAGAAUGGUGUGUAUUGAGUCGACGCAUGGAGGGUGUUGUUAUAUGCAAACUCGGCUAGCGACAGAUAUGUGGUCCAAUCAUCUUGCUGAUAAUUGAUGCUGCAUCGUAAGUAUUGUUCCAAGACUUAGUUCAUCCGUUCCGUUUGGCCGUCAGUUUGAGGAUGAAAAGCCGAAGAAAGCUUGAUAUCCACCUUCAGUAUCUCAAAGAGAGAUCUCCAAAAGUUUGAUAUGAACUGGGUUCCUCGAUCUCAUAUGAUAUCAUCUAGUAGUCCAUGAUAUCGAUACACAUUAUCGAGAAAGAGUCUUGCUAUGACUUCACUGGACGAUGUCUUCUUGCAAGGGACAAAGUGUGCCAUCUUUGUAAGUCGAUCUACCACGACAAAGAUGCUGUCAAAUGAGUUCGAUGAUAGUAGGUCCAUGAUGAAGUCCAUGAAAAUUGAAGACCAUGGUCAACGUGGAAUCGGCAAUGGCUGUAGGAGUCUAUAAGAGCGAUGCCGAGGAUUCUUGGAUCUUGAACAGAUGUCGCAGGAGAAGACAAAAUCUUUCACAUCCUUCCACAUUUGGGGCCACCAAAAAUCUCGAGAAAUAAGCUCCAAGGUCUUGUUGAAUCCAAAAUAUCCCGCAAUUGGAAAAUCGUAGCGAGAUUGAAGAACUCGAAGUCGUGCUGGUCCUUUUGGGAUAUAUAACUGCUCCUCAAAGUAUAAAAGAUCUCCCUCCACCUUGAACUUGUCGUCAUUGGCACAUUGCUUAAUAUCAAUGGCUACUGAAUCUUCAAUGGUUGCGGCACAUACCUGAUUCAGGAAGUCAGCAUCAAUUGGCACAAUAGUAGCACAAAGCUGAAAUUGCUCUGGCUUCAACAAUGUCGUACAUUGUUGAUCAAACACUGCUUCUUCAGCCUUUGGUACAAGAUACGAUCUCUUCGAUAAGGCAUGAGAUAGUCCUUGCUGCUUUCCAGGUCGAUAAGUGAUAACAAAAUCGAAUCUAGAUAGCAACAUACUCCACCGAGCUUGACGUCGAUUUAGAACUCGAGCCGACAUAAAAUACUCCAAAUUCUUGUAAUCUGUGUAUACGGUCACUGGAUGUGCAGCUCCUUCAAGAAAGUGAUGCCAUUUUUGGAAAGAAUCCACUAUAGCAAGAAGUUCUUUAUCGUGGAUCUCAUAAUUGAUUUCAGCAGCAGAGAACUUUCGAGAAUAGAAUGCAACCGGAUGGAGCUUCUUGUCUUCUCUCAUUUGUGAAAGUACAGCUCGCAAAGCAAAAUCCGAAGCAUCAGUUUGUAAAUUAAAGGCCUUUGUAAAGUCUGGAUGUACCAAGAUUGGAGCCGUAUUAAAUGUGGUCUUCAAGUCUUGAAAGGCCUUUUCCGCUAGAGGUCUCCAUUUAAGCUUAUCCUUGCAUGUCAACCGAGUGAGAGGAGCAGCAACUUGAGAGUAAUUCUUGAUGAAGAUCCAAUAGAAGUUGGCAAAACUAAGAAAGCAUUGUACAUCUCUAACCGACUUUGGAACCUCCCACGACACGAUUGCUUCCACCUUCUUGGGGUCCAUCUUCAAGCCUUCCGUAGUCGCAACGAAUCCCAAAAAUUCCAUCUCUAUUUAGUGAAAUAAACACUUCUCCAACUUGGCAUAUAGUCCUCGCUAGCGUAGUUUCUCCAAUACCAAAUGAACGUGUUUUUCAUGCUCUUCCUCAUUUUUGGAGAAUAUCAAAAUAUCAUCCAAAUAGAUGACAACAAAAUCGUCAAGGUGCUCUCGAAAAAUGUCAUUCAUCAUAUGUUGAAAGACCGCUGGAGCAUUGGUAAGACCAAAGGGCAUGACAUUAUAUUCAAAAUGGCCAUACCUUGUACGGAACGCUGUCUUUCACUCAUCUCCUUCCUUGAUUCGUACGAGGUUGUCAGCUCCCCUUAGAUCAAUUUUUGUAAAGAUCCUUGCAUGUCCCAGUUGUUCUAAGAGACCAGAAAUCAAGGAUAAUGGGUAACGAUUCUUCUUUGUUACCUUGUUGAGGCCUCGAUAGUCCACGCACAUCUGCAACGAGCCAUCUUUUUUCUUGACAAAUAAGAUGGGUGCUCCAGCUGACGAUUUUGAAUGACGGAUUAAGUUCUUGGCUAGAUUCUCGUCGAUGUACUUCCGCAAUUCUGCCAACCCCGUCUGCGAUAGAUUGUAGAUUGGGCCAAAAGGCGGUUGUGCUCCUUCCUACAAGUCUAUGGCAUAAUCAUAUGGUUGGUAUUCUGGUAGCAUGUCGGCAUUCUUCUUUUGAAACACGUCUUUAAAAUCCUUAUAUUGCUCAGGUAUACUUGUUGUCGAGAUCUUCUCCCCGGUAGUUGGAGCCGCAUAAAUGACAAACGGUGUGCCUUCCUUAGACAAUCUUAUAAACGCUCUUGCUCCAAUGAAUAAGAAUUUCUUUAUUCGGGGUUUUCUACUAGGCUUGCUCUUGGGUGGUUUUGUAGGAAAGGUCAUCUUUUGCAACCUCCAAUCUAUGGAUGGGUUAUGCUUUUCCAACCAGGAAAGACCAAGAAUAACAGGAUUUGAUGGGGUUCUAAUAAUAUUGAAAAUAAUAUGACUACUAUGGCCCUUAAACGUCACUUCUAUAGGUUUUGAUUCAUGGGUGAUACUACCAAACAAUAAAGGUCGCCCAUCUAUGACCUCAACGUGAACAGGUUUGGAUUUUUGUACUAAAGGGAUCUUAUGACACUUCGCAAAUUCUUCCUCUAAGAAACAAACAGAUGCUCCUGAAUCUAAUAAUGCUAAGGUUCUCAGUUUCUCAGGGCCAAUAAGCAAAGGGAUUGUAAAGCAAAGGGCAGGUUGAGUAGAAAGAAAGGAAGCUGAUUGUUGUUGUGAUAUUUCACUGUCUAGGCGCAUGGUUCCUUUUGUGGCUGGGCAUCCUCGUUUUCGUAAACAAAUGCGCCCAUAGUCUUGAAAAUACGUCGAUUUUGCUUCUUGAGGCAGUUUCCAACUUUGUGGCCUUCUUCACUGCAAUACAAGCAUAGACCUUCCUCCAUACGCCACUUUUUCUCUUUUAGGGUAAGGGAUUUGACACGUACUGCAUCAAUUUGCAUGUCUUCUAUCUCUGAAUGUGAAUUGACGUUGCUUGCUGACAUAGUUGGGACGUGACGAACCAUAUGUUGACUUGAAUGUUGGUCUUAGCGGCGUUGGAAUAGGCGAUUAUUACACUUCACAGCUUGGCUAAUAGCUUUGUUGAGCGUUUGUGGAUCAGGAAGAGUUAACAGCAAAUCUUUCACAUCAUCCCUUAAACCCCAAUAGAAUUGAUUCAUCAACGCUUCUUCAUCCCAAUUGAUGUCGCAUGCUAAUUACGAUAAGUCCGAUGCAUAGACUAAUGUAGAGUGCAUCCCUUGUCGUAGUGACCGGAUCUUUGUUGUAGUCCAUCGAACCUUGUCAUGUUCACCAAAUGCUUCCGCAAAUACCUCGAAAAAGGUUUCAAAGUUGUUUAAUAUGGACGAUCGUUUUUCAAACAAAGGAGCAAACCAUGAUAGAGCUUCUCCUGUAAGUAAGGUUCCAACAAGCCCAACACGUGAUUCCUCCGUUGGAUAGCGUUCAGGUUGUAAAACUGUUAUCAACCUGAUUUGAUUGACGAAUCCUCGAAACUUGGAACGCUUACCAUCGAACUUGUCCGGAAGGCUAACUCGGGGCUCUUUAUGUUGUAGAACCAGCGGUGCUUGUCGAACUUGAGGCAAAGUUGCUUCUCCAAGUGUAGAAGUUUGAGGCUGGUGCAACCUAGAUUGUGCCAUCCCAAAUGCUCCAUCAUUAUGAAGCCUUGCCACGACUCCUUCAAUCUCUGCAGUUCUUUGUGAUAAUGUAGCGAGGGCAUUCAUGAUAGCAUCCAACUUGGACUCCAAACUUUCCGUCAUACUAAUGACUUGGCCUCCGGCCAUUCUAAAAGAAGGACAGAAAUGACUCUAUAAGAAGACAAUAUUGGUUUAGAGGAGGGUACUCUGCAACCUCUAAAAUACCUUACGAGCUUCAAGAAAAGGGGUAAUCCACUCUCUCCAAGAAGAAUAAGACUCCAAUAUUGUAACAAAAGAAGUAUCAGUUUAGAGGAGGGUAAUCCGCAACCUCUAAAAUGCUAGUACACUUCCAAGCAGAGGGGUAAUCCACACUCUAACGAGGAAGAAACUAACUCUGAUAUGUGAGGUGAGUAAAGUCUCGACAAACUAUCACGGACACAGAAAUAUAAACUCGAGAUCUAACAAGAAGUUCAAGAAGAACUGGCAAGAACUAGAUUAAUCAGAUGAAUACAAGAACAACACCAGAGAGGUGAGCUAGAGCUCGAAGAGAUGUAUUGUCGAGACUGAAGAACUCUUCACCCUUGAUUCCAAUAUAUAC
rnacentral:lncRNA from 1 species